rnacentral:rRNA from 1 species
GUGUCAGCAGCCGCGGUAAUACGUAGGGGGCAAGCGUUGUCCGGAAUUAUUGGGCGUAAAGCGCGCGCAGGCGGUUCCUUAAGUCUGAUGUGAAAGGCCACAGCUCAACUGUGGAGGGCCAUUGGAAACUGGGGAACUUGAGGACAGAAGAGGAGAGCGGAAUUCCACGUGUAGCGGUGAAAUGCGUAGAUAUGUGGAGGAACACCAGUGGCGAAGGCGGCUCUCUGGUCUGUAACUGACGCUGAGGCGCGAAAGCAUGGGUAGCGAACAGGAUUAGAUACCCCGGUAGUCC